UGGGGGAUAACUUCCGGAAACGGGCGCUAAUACCGCACACAUCCUGAGGGAGAAAGUGGGGGAUCUACGGACCUCACUCUAUCCAAUGAGCCUAGGUCGGAUUAACUAGUUGGUGGGGUAAAGGCCUACCAAGGCGACCAUCCAUAACUGGUCUGAGAGGAUGAUCAAUCACACUGGAACUGAGACACAGUCCAGACUCCUACCGGAGGCAGGAAUGGGGAAUAUAGGACAAUGGGCGAAAGCCUGAUCCAGCCAUGCCUCGUGUGUGAAGAAGGUCUGCGGAUUGUAAAGCACUUUAUUUUGGGAGGAAGGGCAGUAAGUUAAUACCUUGCUGUUUUGACGUUACCAACAGAAUAAGCACCGGCUAACUUCGUGCCAGCCGCCGCGGUAAUACAAAGGGUGCAAGCGUUAAUCGGAAUUACUGGGCGUAAAGCGCGCGUAGGUGGUUCAGCAAGUUGGAUGUGAAAUCCCCGGGCUCAACCUGGGAACUGCAUCCAAAACUACUGAGCUAGAGUACGGUAGAGGGUGGGGGGAAUUUCCUGUGUAGCGGUGAAAUGCGUGCGAUAUAGGAUGGAACACCACUGGCGACGCGACCACCCCCCACUGAUACUGACCGCUGAUGUGCGAAAGCGUGGGGAGCAAACAAGAUGAUAUACCCCGGUGGUCCACGCCGUCACGAUGUCGACUAUCCGUUGGUAUCCUUGAGAUCUUAGUGGCCGCAGCUGAUGAGAUGAGUCGACCGCCCGGGGGAGUACGUGCCGCAGCGUUGAUACUCACUAUGAUUUGACGGCGGCCCGCACGCAGCAGUGGAGCAUGUGGUUGUAUUUCGUAGCAGCGCCGAGAACCAUCACUCUGGCUCGUGACGUGCAUCAGCACUAUCCCUCAGAUGAUUGUGCUGUC
rnacentral:rRNA from 1 species